GCAUAUCAUAAGCGGAGGAAAAGAAACUAACAAGGAUUCCCCUAGUAACUGCGAGUGAAGCGGGAAAAGCUCAAAUUUAAAAUCUGGUGGUCUUCGGCCAUCCGAGUUGUAAUCUAGAGAAGUGUUACCCGCGUCGGACCGUGUACAAGUCUCCUGGAAUGGAGCGUCAUAGAGGGUGAGAAUCCCGUCUUUGACACGGACUACCGAGGCUUUGUGGUGCGCUCUCAAAGAGUCGAGUUGUUUGGGAAUGCAGCUCAAAAUGGGUGGUAAAUUCCAUCUAAAGCUAAAUAUUGGCGAGAGACCGAUAGCGAACAAGUACCGUGAGGGAAAGAUGAAAAGAACUUUGGAAAGAGAGUUAAACAGUACGUGAAAUUGCUGAAAGGGAAACGCUUGAAGUCAGUCGCGUUGGCCGGAAAUCAGCCUUGCUUUUGCGGGGUGUACUUUCUGGUUGACGGGCCAGCAUCAGUUUUGACCGGUGGAAAAAGUCCAAGGGAAUGUGGCAUCUUCGGAUGUGUUAUAGCCCUUGUUCGUAUACAUCGAUUGGGACUGAGGAACUCAGCACGCCGAAAGGCCGGGUCUUUGACCACGUUCGUGCUUAGGAUGCUGGCAUAAUGGCUUUAAUCGACCCGUCUUGAAACACGGACCAAGGAGUCUAACAUGCCUGCGAGUGUUUGGGUGGAAAACCCGGACGCGCAAUGAAAGUGAAAGUUGAGAUCCUUGUCAUGGGGAGCAUCGACGCCCGGACCAGAAGUUUUCUGACGGCCCUGCGGUAGAGCAUGUAUGUUGGGACCCGAAAGAUGGUGAACUAUGCCUGAAUAGGGUGAAGCCAGAGGAAACUCUGGUGGAGGCUCGUAGCGAUUCUGACGUGCAAAUCGAUCGUCAAAUUUGGGUAUAGGGGCGAAAGACUAAUCGAACCCAUCUAGUAGCUGGGUUCCCUGCCGA
rnacentral:rRNA from 1 species